AACGAACGCUGGCGGCGCGUCUUAAGCACGCAAGUCGAACGGCAAGAGAGAAGCUUGCUUCUCUCCUAGAGUGGCGGACUGGUGAGGAACACGUGGGUAAUCUACCCUUAAGAUGGGGAUAGCUGCUAGAAAUAGCAGGUAAUACCGAAUACACUCAGUUUUUCAUAAGAAGGAUUGAGGAAAGGAAGCUACGGCUUCGCUUGAGGAUGAGCUUGCGUCCCAUUAGCUUGUUGGUGAGGUAACGGCUCACCAAGGCGACGAUGGGUAUCCGGCCUGAGAGGGUGAUCGGACACAUUGGGACUGAGAUACGGCCCAAACUCCUACGGGAGGCAGCAGCUAAGAAUAUUCCGCAAUGGACGAAAGUCUGACGGAGCGACGCCGCGUGGAUGAAGAAGGCUGAAAAGUUGUAAAAUCCUUUUGUUGAUGAAGAAUAAGGGUGAGAGGGAAUGUUCAUCUGAUGACGGUAAUCAGCGAAUAAGCCCCG
rnacentral:rRNA from 1 species